CCUACGGGAGGCAGCAGUGGGGAAUAUUGCACAAAGGGCGCAAGCCUGAUGCAGCGACGCCGCGUGAGCGAAGAAGUAUUUCGGUAUGUAAAGCUCUAUCAGCAGGGAAGAAAAUGACGGUACCUGACUAAGAAGCUCCGGCUAACUACGUGCCAGCAGCCGCGGUAAUACGUAGGGGGCAAGCGUUAUCCGGAUUUACUGGGUGUAAAGGGAGCGUAGACGGCAUAGCAAGUCUGAAGUGAAAGCCCAAGGCUCAACCAUGGGACUGCUUUGGAAACUGUUAAGCUAGAGUGCUGGAGAGGUAA
rnacentral:rRNA from 1 species